rnacentral:snoRNA from 1 species
UCGCAUGAUGAUCAUCCUGAUAGGGACAUCCGAUGCAAAGCAUGUGAUGUGAACAGGACAAGAGAUUUUAGUAGAUGCUUCUUGGAGUCUGAAG